CUAGUGUUGGACCCCCUCCUCUCGCUGGAUUUGUCAAGCCUCCACAGAAAUAGAUCAAACAAAUGCUUGCAUGACAAGUGUCGGAACAAGUGAAACCCGAAGCAUUAUCAAACUUUUAUAACUUAAAAAAAACAUAUUGUAAAAAAAGGCUGCUAUAAAUAAGUGGAGCUUGAUAACAUGCAACAACUAGACCGUGAAAAUGGUUCCUCCUGAUUUUAUGAAUAGUGUGCUUGCUGUUAAAUGGAAUUUGCAGGGAUUGUGCAGGGUUUUUAUUUUGACUCUAUAAUAAUUACUUUGUAUGUGCAGAUAAUUUAAAGCAGUGCUUUGUUGCAGCUGAAAAUGUAUUCCAAGGUGUUGUAAAAACCACUAUUAAUACAUGUAUUCUGCACAAAACCACUGUAAACAGAGAUUAAAUUAUAAAAAAAAAUGUUAUUUAUUUUAAAGUUUUAAAAUUAAGUUGUAUUCACAUUUUAAAGAUUUCUUGUAUAUACAUGGCAAUACAUGGAACUAUUGCAAUUGCAUUCUGUACAUGAUUAAAAGUAAAUGGUGCUGUGAGCAAAUUG
rnacentral:misc_RNA from 1 species